AGCGAAUUCCCGGAGUCACCAGCAGGAGGCGCCACAGGCCCUUUGAUAUCACUGGACAGCUGCCCGUUCAAAGACCUUUGGAUCUGGCUCUUAAUGGACAGAUGACACCAAUGGUUGAAACUUCAGCCCUUAAUACCAGUGACCCAUCGGAAGAGCCUCCAUACCCCAUCUUGUCCCAUGUGGUUCCUUGAGGAUGCGUACCUGUACCCACCAAGCAACGGCAUUUAAUAGUAAGAGCAGCAGCAGACGCAGGCCUGCUCUGGUAUAUUCCAGAUUCUGAAGCUCCAUAGACAUAUUCCAAGGUCAGUGUCUCUCAGCAAUUCAGGAAGAAAAAGAGAAGAUGGCAGAAGGCAAAGAGGAAGAAAACCAAGCUGAUGAGGUGGCAGAAUGGAAAGUGAAACAAAGGAGAAGUGUGACUGAAAUGUGUGGAUUAAGGGAAAGGGUAAAGCAGCAUCUAGAAAGGAGAAAGCUCCUGACUCCAGACUAAAGCCCCUGGUGUUCUCCAGAGGAGUAACACCCUGGAAGAAAGUCAUUUACCUGGGACUUCCACAGCCACAGGGAGAUGAAACGUGGAAGGGAAAAUAAGCCAGACAUCGCCACUCUUGGGUCAAAGUCCUGUCGAGCAAAUGAAAAGCAAAUACCAACGCAAAGGAAUAGGUAGAAGUUGCUGUAGCACACUUGUCCCCAGAGUCCUGGCCUUGGUCAGAUAACCCCAACUCAUCUACAGGACACAGACUCAAAUUAUGACUGCUGGCUGCAUGGGAUGUCAACAGGGUUGAAAGCAGGGUCUUCACUAUCAUUGCACGGGCCUCUGCCACUUGAACUAAAAGAGCAGCUCCAGUAGCCGCCGGCAGUAUUAAGUUGUUAUCCUCCUAAAGGACCAGCAACGAGAAGGAGACAUGACCCUCACUGUGCCAAUGUACUAUCUAAAGGAGAGGCUGAAAUCAAGUACAUCUGUCAACCAGAAGGAACCCAUGGGGUCACAUUUUCAUCUCUGAUUGAAGGGGCUUUAAUGUUGGUGAACGGGGCUGGAUCGCUGCCUCAGUUCCAUAGAGCUUUGCUGGUUUGGGAGCCAGGGGAGGGGGCUCUCUACAUAUGUGAUGGUUUUAUAAUCAGUCAGCGAUCGCUAUCCUAUAUAAUUUGAGGCUGAGAUUUUAAAAACAGCCUCCACGAGCUGGAUGCUCAAUCCCAUUAAAUGCAUGCCUGAACCCCUCAGUGGCUUUGGACAAAUCCUCCUCCAAAAAAUUUUACAAUGUUACAUUUUUUCCACUUUUUACAAUUAAUUUCCCCCUCCCACUUACCGAAAGUCAGUGGAGUCACUCCAGAUUCACAGUGGUAUCUGUCAGAACAGGACCGGGCCAUUCCCGUUACACUGCUAUACCAGGAGAGCGAGCUGGAGCCAAAGAACAGAUGCAGCGUCUGUCACGGCAAUGCAGAUUUCCCCAGCUCAUUGCCCUGACCCAGAGAGCCAGCAUCUAACGAGACGAGGGAGCCCCAGUCCGUCUCCAGGAUCCAUUCUGUCCUGUGCCUUCUAGAGCUGUCCAUUAACUGAUUCUUGUUUUGACUGGUAAACUGGGACAUUUGACCUGGAGAUUAUUGGCACAAAAUAAUGACAGGGAACUUUCCCCAUUGUGAACUUAAUAGGAACUUCCAGUUUAGGGUGAAUUCUUGAAAAUAAAGGUGAGUCACCCGCCAGCAUAGGUCAUUCUCCCACAACACAAAUUCUGAACUAAGAACUCCCUAGAGCUCCAGAUGGGGCUGGUGGUGGGAUGAGCAUGC